CAGGAUGAACGCUGGCGGCAUGCCUAAUACAUGCAAGUCGAACGAAGUCUCUAGGAAGCUUGCUUCCAAAGAGACUUAGUGGCGAACGGGUGAGUAACACGUAGGUAACCUGCCCAUGUGUCUGGGAUAACUGCUGGAAACGGUAGCUAAAACCGGAUAGGUAUACGGAGCGCAUGCUCUGUAUAUUAAAGCACCCUUCAAGGUGUGAACAUGGAUGGACCUGCGGCGCAUUAGCUAGUUGGUGAGGUAACGGCCCACCAAGGCGAUGAUGCGUAGCCGGCCUGAGAGGGUAAACGGCCACAUUGGGACUGAGACACGGCCCAAACUCCUACGGGAGGCAGCAGUAGGGAAUUUUCGUCAAUGGGGGGAACCCUGAACGAGCAAUGCCGCGUGAGUGAAGAAGGUCUUCGGAUCGUAAAGCUCUGUUGUAAGUGAAGAACGGCUCAUAGAGGAAAUGCUAUGGGAGUGACGGUAGCUUACCAGAAAGCCGCGGCUAACUACGUGCCAGCAGCCGCGGUAAUACGUAGGUGGCAAGCGUUAUCCGGAAUCAUUGGGCGUAAAGGGUGCGUAGGUGGCGUACUAAGUCUGUAGUAAAAGGCAAUGGCUCAACCAUUGUAAGCUAUGGAAACUGGUAGGCUAGAGUGCAGAAGAGGGCGAUGGAAUUCCAUGUGCAGCGGUAAAAUGCGUAGAUAUAUGGAGGA
rnacentral:rRNA from 1 species